AUGGUGAUCAAUCAAAGUGAAGAUUCGUCUCUACUGGAUCCAACAUUAUUCCCACUGUUACUUUUUGAUUAUGACUAUUACGAGCCUGGAGGAGACAGUACGGAUGAUAGCAUCGAUGGUGACCUUGAGGAUCAAGAAGAUCAUGACGGAAGUGAUGAAAGUGAGAAGAGUGACAAUGAUGAUGAGACCAGCGAAGCAAAUGGCGCAUUCUUCUUCUACAGUAUAACCAAGAGACUCUUGCUACGCAAGAGAGUAGAUCAUCUGAAAGACCACCUCUACUGGACAACACCACAAGGCUGGAUGCUCAUGUCGCACCCAGAUUCACAUGACACCUUCUUGUGGAAUCCAUUCACGCAUGAGAGGAUUGGCCUACCCCCCGACGAAGAUGAUUUCCUUCCAAGUACCAGAAUUAGGUGCUUGCUAUCGCAUAGGCCAACGGAUCCAGACUGUGUGGUGGUGGUUGUGAAUUGCAGAGAUACCAUACUUUGGUAUUGCCAUCCCGGAGCAAAUCGGUGGUCUAGUCACAUGUACGACUAUACCGGAGGAAAUCAGUGGUUUACCAAUAUGCAAGACGUGGUAGCGCAUGACCAAAUUCGUCGGGCCGCCGUUAGAUCAAUGUCGUCUCUCACAGCAGUUGGGGGGAAAUUCUACGCACAUAUGUCUGACAGAGUUGUGAGACUCGAGUUCCUGCCAAACCCAACGUUUACUACAAUCCCGGCCGAGGAAGCUUCAAAUACAGGGUACAGCUACACAUGUUCACACUCCAGCUUGCUAGAGUCUUGUGGUGAGUUGUUCAGCUUGAUUAUGAAGCAUCCAACAGUUUGUGAUCACAAGGUUGCCCAGAUUGAAGUUCAGAAGUUGGACCUAUCAACAAGAGCUUGGGUGAAAGUAGACAAGCUGGACGAUAGGGUAUUCUUCGUUGAUUCCGGCUGCCUUGGCGCAUCACUUGGUGCAAAAGAAGUCGGAUUGAAGGGAAACUGCAUCUAUUUCGUGAGGCGCCAGGACAAGGCGUUGUAUGUUUACGACAUGGAACGAGGAACUACUGCGGUACAUGAUCCAGGGCUAGAUUUACCGGAUGACAUGGCGCCUGAGAUUGUAGUGCCUCCUUCUUGA
rnacentral:rRNA from 1 species